UUACGACCAUAUCAUGUUGAAACACCGAUUCUCGUACGAUCACCGAAGUUAAGCAAUAUCGAUUCUAGUCAGUACAUAGAUGAGUGAUCGCUUCGAAACACCAGGUGUU